AUACUUACCUGGCAGGGGCGAUACCAUGAUCACGAAGGUGGUUCACCCAGGGUGAGGCUCUGCCAUUGCACUUGGGUGG
rnacentral:snRNA from 1 species